rnacentral:rRNA from 1 species
GACGAACGCNGGCGGCGUGCCUAAUACAUGCAAGUAGAACGCUGAAGAGAGGAGCUUGCUCUUCUUGGAUGAGUUGCGAACGGGUGAGUAACGCGUAGGUAACCUGCCUGGUAGCGGGGGAUAACUAUUGGAAACGAUAGCUAAUACCGCAUAAAAUUGAUUAUUGCAUGAUAAUUAAUUGAAAGAUGCAAUUGCAUCACUACCAGAUGGACCUGCGUUGUAUUAGCUAGUUGGUGAGGUAACGGCUCACCAAGGCGACGAUACAUAGCCGACCUGAGAGGGUGAUCGGCCACACUGGGACUGAGACACGGCCCAGACUCCUACGGGAGGCAGCAGUAGGGAAUCUUCGGCAAUGGGGGGAACCCUGACCGAGCAACGCCGCGUGAGUGAAGAAGGUUUUCGGAUCGUAAAGCUCUGUUGUAAGAGAAGAACGGGUGUGAGAGUGGAAAGUUCACAC